rnacentral:rRNA from 1 species
UACGAGGGGGGCGAGCGUUGUUCGGAAUUAUUGGGCGUAAAGGGUGCGUAGGCGGUUCCGCAAGUCCUGUGUGAAAUCUUCGGGCUCAACUCGAAGUCUGCACGGGAAACUGCGGGGCUUGAGUGUGGGAGAGGUGAGUGGAAUUCCCGGUGUAGCAGUGAAAUGCGUAGAUAUCGGGAGGAACACCAGUGGCGAAGGCGGCCUUCUGGACCAGUACUGACGCUCAUGCACGAAAGCGUGGGGAGCAAACAGG